rnacentral:rRNA from 1 species
GCGACAGGACGGAAAGACCCCAUGGAGCUUUACUGUAGCUUGACAUUGGGUCUUGGUACUACAUGUACAGGAUAGGUGGGAGGCUUUGAAACCAGGACGCCAGUUUUGGCGGAGCCAUCCUUGGGAUACCACCCUUGUAGUACUGGGACUCUAACCAUAGGCCAUGAAUCUGGUCUUUGGACACUGUCAGGUGGGCAGAAUGACUGGGGCGGUCGCCUCCCAAAAGGUAACGGCGGCGCUCACAGGUUCUCUCAGUACGGUCGGAAAUCGUACGUAGAGUGUAAAGGCAAAAGAGAGCUUGAUUGCAAGACAUACAGGUCGAGCAAGGAUGAAAAUCGGACUUAGUGAUCCGGUGGUUCUGCGUGGAAGGGCCAUCGCUCAACGGAUAAAAGCUACCCUGGGGAUAACAGGCUUAUCUCCCCCAAGAUUCCACAUCGACGGGGAGGUUUGGCACCUCGAUGUCGGCUCAUCACAUCCUGGGGCUGUAGUAGGUCCCAAGGGUUGGGCUGUUCGCCCAUUAAAGUGGUACGCG